AGGCUAAAAAAAAUUUGUCUCACAUAUUACAGUUAAAUUAUGCAAUUAGUUUUUUUAUUUUUAUUUAAUGCUCUAUGCAUAUGCCGCAAAAUUCAAUGCGACGGCUGAAAAAAUUUGCAAAACUUUUUGGGAAAGUUUACCCCAAAAACAAAAAAAAAGAUUCCCCGUCAUAUCGAAUCUUGCGGCACAUGCAUGAAGUAGUAAAUAUAAUCGAAAACAAAAACUAAUUGUACAGUUUACUUGUAAAUCGCGAGAUGGAUCUUUUGAGCCUAGUUAGUCCAUAAUUGGAUAAUAAUUGCUAAAUAAAAACAAAAGUAUUACAGUACCCAAAACCAAAAAAAAUCAAAACUAGACAAGCGCCCCCAAAAACCAAAAACUUUUCAAGAUUCCCCGUGAAUCUUGCGGCACAUGCAUGGAACAUUAAAUAUAGAUAAAAAUAAAAGCUGCACAGUUUGUCUUUAAAUCACGAGACGAAUCUUUUAAGCUUAGUUACUUCAUGGUUGCACAUUUAUCAAAUAAAAACUAAGCCAUAUCCUUAGAGGAAGCAUACUAGCUGACUAGCAUCAAGUCCUUCAGACCUGUAAAAGUUGAGUUUGUUCGCUUGUCUAAAAAGUCAUGGUUAAAAGUACUGUUCACUGAUUUGUUAUGAGAGUAAAACACUACUAAAUAGCUGACAUAUUUGAUAGAUAAGCUCAAGCGAAUAGGCUCAACGUAUCUAGUAUAUCACACUAAGACAAAACAAAACAAAACAAAACAAAACAAAGCAAAACAAUGUAAGGUCCACAGAACAUCUCAAACACACAAAAAUAUGUUAUAAUAAGUGCAUUUAACCCUUAGUGGAUUUUGUUUGGUUAAAUGACAACCAUAGUUAAAGGUCUAACAAUUUUGUUAAGUGUUGAACAAGGAUUUAAUUAUACUACCUACACUUGGAGAUGUGAAUUAUCGUAUGAUUUAAAGUGUAUCAAAGGUUUAACAAGAAGACAAACUUGAUUGUAUCCCACAAUGUGCUGAAAUGAAAGCUAAAUUAUGUGAUGUUGUGU
rnacentral:lncRNA from 1 species